rnacentral:rRNA from 1 species
GACGAACGCUGGCGGCGUGCCUAAUACAUGCAAGUCGAACGAGUGGCGGACGGGUGAGUAACACGUGGGAACCUACCCAUCAGAGGGGGAUAACACUUGGAAACAGGUGCUAAUACCGGAUACUGAUGGAUGGAGCCGCGGGGCAUUAGCUAGUGGGUGGGGUAAAGGCUCACCUAGGCGACGAUCACGAGCUGGUCUGAGAGGAUGAUCAGCCACACUGGGACUGAGACACGGCCCAGACUCCUACGGAAGGCAGCAGUGGGGAAUAUUGCACAAUGUGCGCAAGCCUGAUGCAGCCAUGCCGCGUGUAUGAAGAAGGCCUUAGGGUUGUAAAGUACGUUCAGCGGGGAGGCGUUACCCGCAGAAGAAGCACCGGCUAACUCCGUGCCAGCAGCCGCGGUAAUAC